GAGGGUCAUUGGUUUUGAUUGCUUUAGUUUUGCUCUUGCAUUGAAUCUUGAACGAGCUGAGAAUUGAGGGAAAAUAUUGAAAACUGGAUAGAGAUCGGAACGAUGAUGGAAAACAAAAGGAGCCCUUGCUCUGUUGAUCAUACCAGUUUCACUUCUUUGGCAUCGAAACGACAGAAGUCCGACUUAUCGAUCCCCACCAAGGAUAAGAAAGAUAAGGUCGGGGAACGAAUUGUGACUCUGCAGCAGCUUGUUUCGCCAUACGGAAAGGUACAUUGAUAUUUUGUGCAUCCAUU